GGAUAACCAUUGGAAACGAUGGCUAAUACCGCAUNAUGCCUACGGGCCAAAGAGGGGGACCUUCGGGCCUCUCGCGUCAAGAUAUGCCUAGGUGGGAUUAGCUAGUUGGUGAGGUAAUGGCUCACCAAGGCGACGAUCCCUAGCUGGUCUGAGAGGAUGAUCAGCCACACUGGAACUGAGACACGGUCCANACUCCUACGGGAGGCAGCAGUGGGGAAUAUUGCACAAUGGGCGAAAGCCUGAUGCAGCCAUGCCGCGUGUAUGAAGAANGCCUUCGGGUUGUAAAGUACUUUCANUUGUGAGGAAGGGGGUAACGUUAAUAGCGUUAUCUUUUGACGUUAGCNACAGAAGAAGCACCGGCUAACUCCGUGCCAGCAGCCG
rnacentral:rRNA from 1 species